rnacentral:rRNA from 2 species
UGAGUGAGUGGCGAACUGGUGAGUAACACGUGGGAAACCUGCCCAGAAGCGGGGGAUAACACCUGGAAACAGAUGCUAAUACCGCAUAACAACUUGGACCGCAUGGUCCGAGCUUGAAAGAUGGCUUCGGCUAUCACUUUUGGAUGGUCCCGCGGCGUAUUAGCUAGAUGGUGGGGUAACGGCUCACCAUGGCAAUGAUACGUAGCCGACCUGAGAGGGUAAUCGGCCACAUUGGGACUGAGACACGGCCCAAACUCCUACGGGAGGCAGCAGUAGGGAAUCUUCCACAAUGGACGAAAGUCUGAUGGAGCAACGCCGCGUGAGUGAAGAAGGGUUUCGGCUCGUAAAACUCUGUUGUUAAAGAAGAACAUAUCUGAGAGUAACUGUUCAGGUAUUGACGGUAUUUAACCAGAAAGCCACGGCUAACUACGUGCCAGCAGCCGCGGUAAUACGUAGGUGGCAAGCGUUGUCCGGAUUUAUUGGGCGUAAAGCGAGCGCAGGCGGUUUUUUAAGUCUGAUGUGAAAGCCUUCGGCUCAACCGAAGAAGUGCAUCGGAAACUGGGAAACUUGAGUGCAGAAGAGGACAGUGGAACUCCAUGUGUAGCGGUGAAAUGCGUAGAUAUAUGGAAGAACACCAGUGGCGAAGGCGGCUGUCUGGUCUGUAACUGACGCUGAGGCUCGAAAGUAUGGGUAGCAAACAGGAUUAGAUACCCUGGUAGU